AAGAAUGAAGCUAAUAUAACUGAAGCAUUUAACUGUUAAUUAAAUAUAGUACAAACGUACCUUUCUUA
rnacentral:tRNA from 1 species